UAGGGCAAUAAUGUAAGUUAGCACAACAAAGGAAGCCAGUUGUCUGCUCAAAAACAAGUUGGCUUCAGGACAAACUGAUCCGGGUCGGCCAAAGCCAUGGCCACGGUCCGGUCCCCUUCUGGACCCUGGAGCCCAGAAGAGUUAGAGUAUUGGAGUAUUACUUAUUUACUUCUAUCAGCCAAGCCUUGACGUUUCCG